rnacentral:rRNA from 1 species
GACGAACGCUGGCGGCGUGCUUAACACAUGCAAGUCGAACGAAGUGGCGAACGGGUGAGUAAUACGUGGGUAACCUGCCCUCCUUUUUGGGAUAAGCCUUGGAAACGGGGUCUAAUACCGAAUAAAGGGGGAUGGGCUCGCGGCCUAUCAGCUUGUUGGGGGGGUGAUGGCCUACAAAGGCGGUGACGGGUAGCCGGCCUGAGAGGGUGACCGGGCACAUUGGGACUGAGAUACUGCCCAGACGCCUACGGGAGGCAGCAGUGGGGGAUAUUGCACAAUGGGCGAAAGCCUGAUGCAGCGACGCCGCGUGGGGGAUGAAGGCUUUCGGGUUGUAAACUGCUUUUAUGUGAGAAUAUGUAUCACAUGAAUAAGGACCGGCUAAUUCCGUGCCAGCAGCCGCGGUAAUUC